CAGCUGGUGGUUGAAGAAAUACAUACCAUUGCAGCAGAGGCUGUGCGGGCCUCCACGUGGGCCUUUGGUAGGCACCUUUCACAGCUCCAGUUCUUUGCCCGGGCUUUUUCCUUGGCUACAGGGCGGGCUGUGAGAGUCAAGUCCGCAGCCUCAGAGGGCAGCCCUCUGCUGAAGACUGAUGGGACUGGAGGACCCCAGCUCCCUCGCCCCUCAGCCUCCCUGGGUCCUCUUCCUCGUCCAUUUUGUCAAAUGCCGCUAACAGACUCCCACUCCGUACGCCCACAGGGGGCUUUGGAAGCAUGGGGGAUGCCAGGAAGCCUCUCUGUGUGGACGCUCUGCUCGGGCUGGUUUGGCCUCGCUCCCAGCACGGCAGCCGCGUCGGAAGAGCAGCCAGCUCCCAGGUGGAAGCAGUAUCGCCUUUUAUGACCCAGCCUCGGUCGUCAAUCAAUAUCACCUCUGGCUCAUUUCAUUGGCGGAGGCAAUUACUAAGUCCCACCCAGGAUGGAGGAGGGGGGACCCAGGCUCCGCCUGUUGAUGAGAGGAUGGCGUGGUUCUAGAAAAACAUGUAAAGCCGGAAAUAUUGUGGUGGCCAUUUUGGGAAAAGAAAAUCUGCCACAUGCCUGACACCUGUGUGCCAGUCCCCGGGCCUCGUGCCCUCAGAUCCACCCCCUCCCUCCCCUUCCUCUGCUGGGCUUUGCCUGCACGUUUCCUGGCAUCCAUGGAAGGCCCUGGAAGGACAGGAGGAAGGGAGAAGCCAGGGUAUUUCUCCUCCUUGCUCUGGGCCGCAGCACCUGGAGCGCCACUGUGGCUGUGGACCCCAGAGGACAGAAUCAGUGCAGCCCGGGGUUCUGCCUGCGGAGCCCACCUCCCGGCGCCAGUGACCCAGAUCCUCCCUCCAUCCCUCCAGCUUUAGGGGCAACAGACGCUUCCUGCCCUUGCUUGCUUCCCUGUUGCCACCCUGGCUCUGUUUUCCAUCACACGUGUCAACGAUUUUAUGCAUUAAGCUCCUCCGUUCCAGACACCUAGAGGGGUUCCUGUGUCCUUGAUGGGACUUCGACCACUGCACAUAGUGAGACCCAGCCAGUGCUUGCAGGAGAGCAGAGAAGGUCAUGGAAGGUGUGUCAGAAACCCCAGAAUCAAGUCUCGGCCCCCCGCAUCCCUCAACUGAUUCCCUCUGAAAAAUGUGUCUUUCUCCUGGAUUCUAAAAGAGCAGAAUUACAGAAGAGUCUUUGGGACCCCUAUGCUCCUAGCCAGAAUUUCCAGUUUCCUUUUCAGAUGUUUAGAGGAGUUGUCUGACUUUGAUCGCGCAUCUCGAGUAAACUUUGGACCCACAGGACCCUCAUCCCCGGGGCCGGGAACCGCCAAGCCAACACCGUCGGCCGGAUGGUGCAUGCGGUAGCUCACCUCCGAGAGGGCCUCCACUCACCCCCACCUGCCAUUAUUCACGCCCUUGUAUGCUGCUUCCCUGAUCAGUAGGAGCUUGUAGGAAUGACAGAAUGUGACUUGUGAGGCUCGUUUAUCAACGAUAUUGUGGCUUGUGCCCUGCUCUCUUAUGGAUCAACCUGAGGUCAGCCAGCUGCCAUGUGGUGAGGACACUUUAUGGAGAACCCUCUGGAGAGGUCCACAGGGUGAGGAACUGAGGCCCCUUGCCUCAUAUCCAUGCAAGUGAGCCAUCCUGGAAGUGGGCCCUUCUGCCCCAGUCAAGCCUUCAGAUGAGUGUGGCCCCAGCCGACAUCGUGACUCCAACCUCACGAGAAACCCUGAGCCAGACCACAGAGCUAAGUGUCUUCUAAAUUCUUGACCCACAGAAACAGGGAGGUAAUAAAGGCUUUUGGUUGUUUUAAGCCA